AUACCUUCACAGGCCUUUUGGCUUAGAUCAAGUGUAGUAUCUGUUCUUGUGAGUCUCCAGGUACACCUGAUCUAUGCCACUCACUGACAACUCUCACAGUUCAGUUUAAUCGCUGAAACUCGACUACGGUCGAUUUACGAUUAUCCUUAUUUUUCACCCCAGCGAGGUGCUCCCUGAGCUUGCUCACAGUAUCCUCGCACCGUGUCCUUGGCCUUACACUACCGCCUUGUGACGCAAACUACC
rfam:Rachicladosporium sp. CCFEE 5018 unplaced genomic scaffold Supercontig_21, whole genome shotgun sequence.